rnacentral:tRNA from 1 species
GGGGAUUUAGCUUAGCGGCAUAGCGCCUGCCUUGCAAGCAGGUAGUCGUGAGUUUAAUCCCUG